GACGAACGCUGGCGGCGUGCUUAACACAUGCAAGUCGAACGGAAAGGCCCUGCUUUUGUGGGGUGCUCGAGUGGCGAACGGGUGAGUAAAACGUGAGUAAACUGCCCUUUACUUUGGGAUAAAUUCAGGAAACUUGGGGUAAAAACGGGUAGGAGCGCCUGCUGCAUGGUGGGGGUUGGAAAGGUUGGGAGGUUGGGGAUGGACUUGGGGCUUAUCAGGUUGUUGGUGGGGUAGUGGCUUACCAAGGCUUUGACGGGUAGCCGGCCUGAGAGGGUGACCGGCCACAUUGGGACUGAGAUACGGCCCAGACUCCUACGGGAGGCAGCAGUGGGGAAUAUUGCACAAUGGGCGGAAGCCUGAUGCAGCAACGCCGCGUGCGGGAUGACGGCCUUCGGGUUGUAAACCGCUUUCGCCUGUGACGAAGCGUGAGUGACGGUAAUGGGUAAAGAAGCACCGGCUAACUACGUG
rnacentral:rRNA from 1 species